rnacentral:rRNA from 1 species
CACGUAGGAGGCAAACGUUAUCCGGAUUUACUGGGCGUAAAGCGCGUGUAGGUGGUUCUGUAAGUAGGGCGUGAAAGCUCCUGGCUCAACUGGGAGAGGCCGUUCUAAACUGCAGAGCUAUAGGAUGGUAGAUGGAGGUGGAAUUCCAGGUGUAGCGGUGGAAUGCGCAGAUAUCUGGAGGAACACCAGUGGCGAAGGCGGCCUCCUGGACCAUUCCUGACACUCAGACGCGAAAGCUAGGGUAGCAAACGGGAUUAGAUACCCCUGUA